AGCCCAAUGAUGCCAACUAAAAUGGGACUUGCCCGAAGCCCAAUACCAAGCCCAAAGGCAAAGUGAAGUCUUCUCAGCCAAAAUGCAAGCCACGUCCUUAUUAUUGAAGUAACAAGUGAUGAAGCCUAACCUACUACCAGCCAAAGAACACUUUCUAGUGGUAUUCCAAGUAAAAAGCUGAUGACUCACUACUCUCCAAGUGUUUUCGGGCAAGAACAAAGUUACAGCAAUUGGGCUAAUUUGCCUAUAAAAUGAAGAAGAGGCCCCAGAGAUAAGGACACUCAACCAAUCAAACAAACAAAUAUACAAACUCUGCUCUCAAGCUAGAUUUGCAUUCAAAAGCUAAAAUCAACCUAGAUUCAGUUAUUUUUAGCGACAAGCUAUCUCUUAUCCAAUUUACAGCUCUGAUAUCUCCCUUAGUGGCAUAGUAUCGAUUCCCUUGUGUAAACUUGUUUACCAUCCAUCCCUUUUUAGCAUAUAAACCCCUGUUAAUUCAAAGAGAAGUGAUUGCAAGAGGU
rnacentral:lncRNA from 1 species